AGUGAACGCUGGCGGUAGGCCUAACACAUGCAAGUCGAACGGCCGCACAGUAAGAGCUUGCUCUUACGGGUGGCGAGUGGCGGACGGGUGCGGAAUACAUCGGAAUAUACUUUUUCGUGGGGGCUAACGUCGGGAAACUUACGCUAAUACCGCAUACGACCUCCGGGUGAAAGCAGGGGAUCUUCGAACCUUGCGCGAUUGAAUGUGCCGAUGUAGGAUUAGCUAGGUGGCGGGGUCAAGGCCCACCAAGGCGACGAUCCGUAGCUGGACCAAGAGGAUGAUCAGCAGCACGUGAGCUAGGACACUGUCCAGACUUCGACGUGAGGCAGGAGUGGGGAAUAUUGGACAGGGGGCGGUAGCCUGUCCUAGGCAUUCCGCGUGAGUGAAGAAGACCUUCGCGGUGUAAAUCCCGUUUGUUGUGAAAGAAAAGCAGCAUUUUAAUACCCCGCUGUUCUGACGGUACCCAAAGAAUAAGCACCGGCUAACUUCUG
rnacentral:rRNA from 1 species